UAUGAUGGGCCAUUUAAGUCUGGGCUAUAUAAACCGUUGAUUCAGCACAAUUGAGUUGUAGGGUGCACCAGAGUAAGCUGCAAAAGCACAGCUCGACUAAAUUGUACGCACGUUUUAUUUGUGAUUUGUGACGACCCAAAGUCAUAAUCGACAUCAUGAAGCUGCUGCUACUGUCCAUUCUGCUGGCGUCAAUUGCUCUAGUCUUCUCAGCACCUACCAGUCAAAACUUCCAGGAAUUAUCCAAUCGAAAUACCGGCAAAAGGAAUUGCGGUUCAAUAACGCAUGCUCAUGAUAUUCUAAGUAACUUGCGCUGUAACGUAAGAAAAUGAAUAACAGCUGAUGCAGGCUCGGCAUGACUCCAGAAUAGCUUUGACUUGAAAUAUUCUGGUUGAAUUGCUCUGUAAGUUAAAGAAAAAAAUGAAUAACAGCUGAUGUAGUCUUCAGAAUAGAUGAAAUGUUUGGAACAUUAAAUUUCAGAAAGUUUGACAUGUCGAUGGAUGUUUCAUUAAAAUAAAUCAGAAAAUUGA